UACGUAGGGUGCGAGCGUUAAUCGGAAUUACUGGGCGUAAAGCGUGCGCAGGCGGUUUUGUAAGCCAGAUGUGAAAUCCCCGGGCUUAACCUGGGAAUGGCAUUUGGGACUGCAAGGCUUGAGUGCGGCAGAGGAGACUGGAAUUCCCGGUGUAGCAGUGAAAUGCGUAGAUAUCGGGAGGAAUACCGAUGGCGAAGGCAGGUCUCUGGGCUGACACUGACGCUCAUGCACGAAAGCGUGGGGAGCAAGCAGG
rnacentral:rRNA from 1 species